AUUGAACGCUGGCGGCAGGCCUAACACAUGCAAGUCGAGCGGAGCGGCGGACGGGUGAGUAAUGUAUGGGGAUCUGCCCGAUAGAGGGGGAUAACUACUGGAAACGGUGGCUAAUACCGCAUACUAUCGGAUGAUCCCAUAUGGGAUUAGCUAGUAGGUGGGGUAAAGGCUCACCUAGGCGACGAUCUCUAGCUGGUCUGAGAGGAUGAUCAGCCACAAUGGAACUGAGACACGGCCCAGACUCCUACGGGAGGCAGCAGUGGGGAAUAUUGGACAAUGGGCGAAAGCAUGAUCCAGAAAUGCCGCGUGUGUGAAGAAGGUAUUCGGAUUGUAAAGAACUUGAAGUUGGGAGGCGGUACCAACAGAAUAAGCACCGGCUAACUUCGUGCCAGCAGCCGCGGUAAUAC
rnacentral:rRNA from 1 species